rnacentral:ncRNA from 2 species
GACGAAGUGUGACGGAAGUCCGGUGAGAAUCCGGCACGGUCGCGCCACUGUGAACCCGUACCCGUACGGGAAGUCAGACCCAGCACCUUCGUC